UCCUGUGGGUGGGGGCUUGUCGGUAGCUGUCAGGCUUGUGGCCCCAGCCAGGGUGCGGCUUCUGUGCGUCCGGCCCGGGUGUGCGUUUCCUCUCCUGGACGAGGAACAGGAGGUUCCCAGGGCAGCCACCUCGGCGGACGGGUCGGCCGGGGAUAAGGGGCGGGGGCCGGUUUUUCGGUACCUGGCAUUGCCCUUCAAGUUUCUGAGAGGUUGGGGAAACUUCUUGAGGCUGGGACUCCACUGUGUCCCCCAGACCUGAAGGGGCGAGGGCUGGGCCUGAGCGCGUCCGACCCUCACCUGCCCCUGGCAUCGCUUUCGCGGCAGGGGAGGAGGCAGGAAGGCCCAGCCCACAGUUCCUGGGCACGUUCUUCCGUGGAGGGCUGGCUCUGUGUGCCUCUGGGGUCGGGCUGUGUCCUUUGCCCCCGCUCCAGUCUGGGCGUUGGGAGUCAGAUACUUCCACAGGGGCCAGACAGGCGGAUGCUGUGCAAGCCGGAGCUGCCGGGAGGGUCCUGUUCUGUGCGGCCGACAGCACCGUGCCUGGAAAAGCCAUGCUAUUUGGGACCGUCCUGCUGGGCAAGCGGCCACUCUUCCACACUGAAAGGGAAACAGAAAGGAAGAAGCGCCCAGAGCAGGAGGAACAGAUGUGGCCUCCACCCGAGAUUGGGGCUCAGGGAGGGAAGAGAGUGUCGCAUCAGGAUCAGUCUUCCGGCAGGCUCCAUCUCUCCUGGGAUGUGCUGGGAUCCUCUAGUGACAGGGGAGAAGGGAAGUUCACAUGAGUGGUUCGUGGUGCUGGGGCCGUGCUGUCACCACCUGUGAAGCCAGGGCUGGUGAGUGGGAGGGCUUUCCCCAGACAUCGCCUUCCAGAACCCUCUGGGGCUACGAAGCCACACACCAGCCGCCCGAGCCCCCCUGAGCUCUUCCCCUGCCGCCCGCUAUCUGCGUAAUUCAGUUACCACCUCCAGGAAAUCUCUCUGGUUUGGCUCCACGUAUUUUCAUUUCUGCAUGACUGGAAGAAAUUAAUUUUUCUCCCUACGCGAGGAUCUGGAGAUGCUGCCAGCAGGCUGGGUCACUAAUCCCCAAGAUCCCAGCCCUCAGGGCUGCAGUGGGGAGGGCCGGGCCUCGCCGCUGCCGCCUCUGGGGUGGCAGGGAGGGUGUGAGGUGGGUGAGGCAUUUCCCUGCCAGCUUCUGGAACCAUCUUGGGGCUCUCCGCUGGCCUCCCCCCUUCCCUGCUGCACCGUUAGCAGGUUGACUUUGGGGUUUUCUGAUUCAUCCUCAGCCUCCCACAGUGCCAGGGUGGAAGGAUGGUGCUUGAAUUAAGUGGCUCUGAAUUUCCUUCCCUGGCAGGGAGGAACCAGAAGCAACUUCAGCGUGCCCCAGUGCCGUGUGUGCCACGCGGGUGUUCAGACCCAGCAUGGAGGGACUAGCAGGGCCUUGUUAUUGGUGCCACAGGUGAAGGCGCUGGCGUCUCCAUGGGGCUGCUCUCCCGGCCCGCACUUGCUGCACUGCCUGCCUGUGGCCUGUGUCUCCUGCUCACAGGGUCGUGGAGCCUUCCUGGGUGGGUCUUAGAGCCUACAACAGCGCUGGGGCUUACACGCACUGUCGCGUCCCUGUAACACCCACGAGGGCCGUGGAGCGUUCCCCGUCUCCGACGCCGGGAGAGGUACAGUCACUCCACAGGUCAUGCAGGGAGCCAGUCUGACGGCGGGCCGCAGCGAGUGUCUCCAGGCCCCUGUCCAGCCCCGCCCAGUCCCUGUCCAGCCCUGCCCGGGCGUUCCUUUGCCUGUGCUGUCGGUCCCCAUCCCCAGCCUGCCGGGCCACAUUCUUAGAGCACCUGAGCACCCCCAAGGGACUGGGGGAUCUGGUGGCUGAGGGCUCGGUCAUGACUCGGGGUUAGCACUGUAGGUGCAAAAGCCCUCACCUGGAUACAGGCCCUGGGGCCCAUCUGGGGUCAGGGCACGGGUGGGAGAACUUGACCUCUGCCCUGCCUGGGUCAUGGAGCCCCAAGGCCAGCCUCAUCCCGGCUGCUCUAGGUCUGCACCUCUGGCCAGCCCCACCUCUGCUUCCUGCCCUGCUGUGCAGGGGAGGGAGGUCGUUGUUGCUAAAGACCCUCCAGAAGCCACUGGAACAUUGCCCGGCUAUUAUCACAGACAUGGCAUCCAGUGUUCAUAGAAAUCCACGUCCAGGCAACCGAUGUCACCUCCCAGGCUGGCCCCAGGCCCCUGGGGACGGAAAGGACCUAAACUCUACAAUUUGUCAAUGCCGGAGGGUGGCUUUGCCACCACUUCACUUACAGGACAAAAAGUGCCUGUCCUCCAGUGCUCAUUCCCUGGGCAAGUAUUGAUCGAACACCUACUCCAUACCAGGCGGGGGCAGAGUCACAUGCAGUGAGAGGCACCCAGGCCCUGCAUUGGAUCCUCACGGCAGCCAGCCCUGAGGGCACCGCUGCUGCCCCACUUUCCAGACCGGGAAGCCGAGGCCCACAGAAGUUCCUAGCUCACAGCGCAGGAGCCCGACGCGGGCCGGGACCUUCCUUUCAGCGGAGCCCAGGCCGUGCUGCGGGAAACAGCCCACCGGGCAGGCCUGGGAGGGCCGCCUUAGCCGAGAGCAAAUGCAGGCAAGGGCUUUGCUUGUCUGGAAAAAAAAUUCCUGGAGUGGAAACCGCCCUUGUAGCAUCAGUGGAAAAGACUCAGGCGGAGACCUGGCAGUUGGGCUGGAAACUGACGAUGAGGAGAGUGAGAGAUAACUGCUCCCCAGUCCCCACUUCUGAGCUCGCAGCUUGCCCCGAGGGUGGGAGCUGGGGACUCAGGACCCGCCGGGAUCCGGCUUUCCGCCUGUGCUGUGGCAAUGAGUUUCCUGUGGCAAUAAAACAGAAGUUCAGA